GCCCGCUUAGCUCAGAGGUUAGAGCACCGCAUUUGUAAUGCGGUGGUCAUCGGUUCGAUUCCGAUAUCGGGCU
rnacentral:tRNA from 8 species